UACGUAGGGUGCGAGCGUUAAUCGGAAUUACUGGGCGUAAAGCGUGCGCAGGCGGUGAUGUACGACAGUUGUGAAAUCCCCGGGCUUAACCUGGGAACUGCAUUUGUGACUGCAUCGCUGGAGUGCGGCAGAGGGGGAUGGAAUUCCGCGUGUAGCAGUGAAAUGCGUAGAUAUGCGGAGGAACACCGAUGGCGAAGGCAGCCCCCUGGGCCGACACUGACGCUCAGGCACGAAAGCGUGGGGAGCAAACAGG
rnacentral:rRNA from 1 species